rnacentral:lncRNA from 1 species
CUUAGUCUACAGCAACAGCAUGCAACGCUGAGCAAAUGAUGUCCAGGAUCAGUGUCUCUCCUUACACCAUCAAGACUGCAGGGACCCUGGGGCCAGCUGGCAUUUGC